CAACCAAUUUUAUGUGUUUAUUUUAGAUUUUACUGUGCCAUUCAAUUUUUUGAACACACCUAGAACUAAUCUCAAACUUUUCAUUGGCACAGGGGGUUUUUCUCUGAUAAUUCAUAGUUUUGAUUAAGACUUGAGGAUGUCACUGCUGCCGUUCUUGACAAUCAUUCUGGUCAGUGUUACAGCCUUACCAGACCUAAGACAGAUGACAGAUGGCUGUGAUGUCAUGUGCUACGAAGGUGCUCCGCCGAUGGGAGACAUGUCUUGCCCUGACGGAUACGUCUGCAAAAAUACCGGCUGCAGUGCAGUCUGCAUACCUGAGGUCUCUAAACGAGCACGAGACUGUGGUGUCAUUAUCUGCCCCACUUGGUGUGACGACGGUCGUGUACUAGAUGCCAAUGGCUGCCCUACAUGUGUCUGCUUGUAAUGCAGUUCAUUAAACGAUAUAAUGUUCGA